GCAGCCUUUUUUACUGAUCUGUGUAGGAACAGCGAGGGAACAAGAGAGCCGCCAUUAGGGCUUCUGCAGCGGCUUUUAACCUUCGACAACAACUGGGUAUUGCUAACUUUUUUGUUUCUCUAAUUGAAUCUUCCAGUACCUAAAUUUACACUGCUUCUGCUUUUAGCAUGAGGCUUAAAUAUUCUUUGCUAGGAAAAAAAUGAUUUGGUGGUAAAACCAAUUACAACAGUUUUGAUGAGACCAUAAUGUCAUUUUAUCCGAUGAUUUGUAUGAAUCCUGGAUCAUUAAUGGUGAAAUUUGGUGGAUUAUUAGGGUUGAUUGUGAGGAAGGAACAGUAUUUAUCUGCAUAUUCUUUGUGAAAACAAAUGGAAUUGCUAGGAAUCGUGCAUGAUGCGUAUACUUAUAAACAUCUUCAUUAACUGCCCCUGCCCCUGCUCCCUGGCAUUUGAUUUUGUUUUUUCUGUUUUGGCAUUUAACCAUUUUGUAUGAAACUCUGAAUGCUAAUGUCAAUAUUUAAAUUUACAAUGUUAUGAUGGAUGGAUAUUGUUUGCAAAGAGAAGCGAAUGAGCAUAGAAAGGAGUUAAGAUACAGUGGUUGGAAAAUGUUAUGCGUUUGAUCUUCAUAGUCAUAACAUCUUGAACAAUGGCCAUUGUAAGAGUAAGAGGUCCAUGAGUCAAUAACUCUCUUUGCAGAAAUGCAUGACAAAGCAUGGACUCCUAUUUCACCCUUACAAUGUCCAUUGAUUAAGAUGUUAUAACAUUGUUAUCAAGGGGUUUUUUUCCCCAAAAACUCCACAUCAAGUGCAGCUCAAGUUCUCAGGAAAAAUGGUCAAUGGAAGAUUCCAAUGCAUCCAUUCACGGUAAGCAUGGAUAUGGUUCAGGUAUCAAAUGUGAAGAUUAUACUGUGUUUCCAUGAGGAGAUUCUCAAAAUGGGAACUUCAAGCGAAAUUCUCAUUUUCCGUUCAGCAGUGAUGUGGUUGUCCAUCUUCAAAACAAUUAGGCUGCUAUACCUCAUAUAAAUACUGGCGUAUCCCGAAGAAACUUUGAAAUUGUUCCGGUGCGCUUCCAAGGGGUUGCUUUUUGGGACUGAUUUUGUCAAUUUUAAAAGAAAACGACCUCUAUAAAUUGAGACGACGAAAUCCUUGCCUAUUGCCUGUUUUAGGUUCUAAGAUUGACGAUAUCAAAUUAAUAAUGGCAUUUGAGAUGAUGAACUCUCUGCCCAGUAACCUGUUUUAGGCACCAAGAUUGACGAUAUCAAUAAAAUAAUGUCAUUUGAUUCUGUUGA